ACUCAAAUGAAUUGACGGGGGAGCGCACAACCGGUGGAGCAUGUGGUUUAAUUCGAUACGAAGCGAAGGACCUUACCUGGGUUUGACAUGUAGUUGCAAGCCCUGUGAAAGCAGGGCCGCCUUCGAGGGUAUUACACAGCUGCUGCAUGGCUGUCGUCAGCUCGUGUCGUGAGACGUCUGCUUAAGUGCAGUAACGAGCGCAACCCCUGCUGUGUGUUAUAUAUUCACACAGGACUGCCUUACAACAAGUAGGGAGGAAGGAGGGGACGACGUCAAGUCAUCAUGGCGCUUACAUCCAGGGCCACACACAUCCUACAAUGGGGAGGACAACGGGUCGCGAAACCGCAAGGUCGAGCUAAUCCUUCAAACCUCUCCUCAGUUCAGAUUGGGGGCUGCAACCCGCCCCCAUGAAGUCGGAAUCGGUAGUAAUCGCGGGUCAGCAGACCGCGGUGAAUACGUUCUCGCUCCUUGUACACACCGCCCGU
rnacentral:rRNA from 1 species